rnacentral:rRNA from 1 species
AGCUACUUUCGGGUAGUUAGUAAACUGGCGGACGGGUGAGUAACGCGUAGGCGACCUGGCCCUUUGUCUGGGAUAACAUUUCGAAAGGGGUGCUAAUACCGGAUGUGGUUAUACUUAGUAAUUUUGUAUAAUUAAAGUUGCUUUAAUGUAGCGCAAGGGGAUGGGCCUGCGUUCCAUUAGCUAGUUGGUAAGGUAAUGGCUUACCAAGGCGACGAUGGAUAGCUGGUCUGAGAGGACGAUCAGCCACACUGGGACUGAGAUACGGCCCAGACUCCUACGGGAGGCAGCAGUGGGGAAUAUUGCGCAAUGCCCGCAAGGGUGACGCAGCGACGCCGCGUGGGUGAAGAAGCUUUACGGAGUGUAAAGCCCUGUCAGGAGGGAAGAACGGUCUGGAUUCUAAAGGAUUCGGGAUUGACGGUACCUUCAGAGGAAGCUCCGGCUAACUCCGUGCCAGCAGCCGCGGUAAUACGGGGGGAGCGAGCGUUGUCCGGAAUUACUGGGCGUAAAGGGCGUGUAGGCGGGUAUGCCAGUCAGAUGUAAAAGACUACGGCUCAACCGUAGAGGGUCAUCUGAAACUGUAUAUCUUGAGUUCGAGAGAGGGUAGUGGAAUUCCUGGGUGUAGCGGUGAAAUGCGUAGAUAUCAG